UGUUCAUAUAUACCAACCCCUGACUGAUUAACUUCUCCUAUUUCACUUGAGCACUUUUGCCUUCUGAUCUCCAUCAGAGCAAAAGAUGGUAGUAGAAACUAUACUUGGUGUUGUUUCAACAAUCUUGAUGAAGCUAAUUCCACUUGCUGUCGAGCAGAUCUCUCUUGCUUGGGCUGUUUAUGAAGAUCUCCAAAACCUUUCUAAGAAACUAGAGAUGAUUCAGGCUGCAGGCAGAUGACUAGCAAAGCUGUGCAGCAUUGGCCCAAAAAUCUUCAGACAGUAACACUUGAUGCUGACACCGUGUUGGAUGAUUUUGGACAUGAAGUUCUUGGCCACAAGAUUGAGAUUGGAAAGGGUGCUAAGGUGAGCAGUUCUUUUAUGUUUCGCUGAGCGAUGGCCAAGAAGAUAGAGAACAUAUUAUCUUUGAUGAAAUGGUAAGGUGCUGAGGUGCUUUGAUGAAAGAAUUUGCUUAGCGUAUCUGAUGAUUUUGAAGUGGAAAGGCUGUUGAAUGAGAUGCUGUAAUCUUUGAAGGGAACCAAACUUGGGACGACAAACAGUAAGGCAAUGUUAAAGAGGUUUUAAAAGCAUUUAAAAGUGAUGUAGAAUAGGUGCCAGGCAACUUUUGGGUCAAGAUGGAUUGGGCAAAGAAGGGAAGGAAGAGCCAAUCGAGAUGCAUCAUCGGUGCAGGUUUCUGGAGCCAAUUUGGCCAUGGAUUCAGCUGAGCUAAGACCGGAUUCUCAGCUGGAUUCAAGGUAGAGAGUGGAGUUAGAUAAUGAAUUGGUAGACCAUUUAUGAUGGAGGGUGGCGGCACUGGUGUAUGUUGGACUACAAUACUGGGAUUUCGUUGCAGCCGUUGGAUGCUGAAGUGGAAGUUUGCACAUUUGGGUGCCGGCGGUUAUGGUUAAGUAAAUGUGGAUUGGAAGAAUCUGAGGAGGAGGAUUAUCGCGAGCGAGGCGGCUGAGUUAGGAGAGAGGGGACCAUUUUUUUCCUUUCUUCUGCAGGUUAAAAGGGAUUUUGGAUUUGUGGAUGUGGUGGAUGGUGGAUAUGGAUGGGGAUUAGGGUAGAAAUGAAUCUAAUUAAGUCGAACAUCCUAGUGUUCAAACUUGUUUAAUUAUUUUAAUGAAUUUGAAAUUUGGUA